rnacentral:rRNA from 1 species
CCCUUAGAUGUCCUGGGCCGCACGCGCGUUACACUGAUGCAUUCAACGAGCUUAUAACCUUGGCCGAGAGGCCUGGGCAAUCUUGUUAACGUGCAUCGUGAUAGGGAUAGAUUAUUGAAAUUAUUAAUCUUGAACGAGGAAUUCCUAGUAAACGCAGAUCAUCAAUCUGCAUUGAUUACGUCCCUGCCCUUUGUACACACCGCCCGUCGCUACUACCGAUUGAAUGGUUUAGUGAGGCCUUCGGAUCCGCGACUCGUUUUGUGGAGAAGUUGGACAAACUCAGUCAUUUAGAGGAAGUAAAAGUCGUAACA